GGGCCCGUAGCUUAGCCUGGUUGGAGCGCCCGGCUGAUAACCGGGAGGCCAUGCGUUCAAAUCGCAUCGGGCCCA
rnacentral:tRNA from 1 species